rnacentral:rRNA from 1 species
AGCUAGUUGGUGGGGUAAAAGCUCACCAAGGCGACGAUCUGUAGCGGGUCUGAGAGGAUGAUCCGCCACACUGGAACUGAGACACGGUCCAGACUCCUACGGGAGGCAGCAGUGGGGAAUUUUGGACAAUGGGGGCAACCCUGAUCCAGCCAUGCCGCGUGAGUGAAGAAGGCCUUCGGGUUGUAAAGCUCUUUCAGCCGGGAAGAAAACGCAUUGGUUAAUACCUGAUGUGGAUGACGGUACCGGAAUAAGAAGCACCGGCUAACUACGUGCCAGCAGCCGCGGUAAUACGUAGGGUGCGAGCGUUAAUCGGAAUUACUGGGCGUAAAGCGUGCGCAGGCGGUUUUGUAAGAUAGGCGUGAAAUCCCCGGGCUUAACCUGGGAACUGCGUUUAUGACUGCAAGGCUAGAGUACGGCAGAGGGGGGUGGAAUUCCACGUGUAGCAGUGAAAUGCGUAGAGAUGUGGAGGAACACCAAUGGCGAAGGCAGCCCCCUGGGUCGAUACUGACGCUCAUGCACGAAAGCGUGGGUAGCAAACAGGAUUAGAUACCCUGGUAGUCCACGCCCUAAACGAUGUCAACUAGGUGUUGGGUGGGUAAAACCAUUUAGUACCGGAGCUAACGCGUGAAGUUGACCGCCUGGGGAGUACGGCCGCAAGGUUAAAACUCAAAGGAAUUGACGGGGACCCACACAAGCGGUGGAUGAUGUGGAUUAAUUCGAUGCAACGCGAAAAACCUUACCUACCCUUGACAUGUCAGGAACUUGCCAGAGAUGGCUUGGUGCUCGAAAGAGAACCUGAACACAGGUGCUGCAUGGCUGUCGUCAGCUCGUGUCGUGAGAUGUUGGGUUAAGUCCCGCAACGAGCGCAACCCUUGUCGUUAAUUGCCAUCAUUUAGUUGGGCACUUUAACGAGACUGCCGGUGACAAACCGGAGGAAGGUGGGGAUGACGUCAAGUCCUCAUGGCCCUUAUGGGUAGGGCUUCACACGUCAUACAAUGGUCGGUACAAAGGGUCGCCAACCCGCGAGGGGGAGCCAAUCCCAGAAAGCCGAUCGUAGUCCGGAUUGCAGGCUGCAACUCGCCUGCAUGAAGUCGGAAUCGCUAGUAAUCGUGGAUCAGCAUGUCACGGUGAAUACGUUCCCGGGUCUUGUACACACCGCCCGUCACACCAUGGGAGCGGGUUCCGCCAGAAGUAGGUAGCCUAACCGCAAGGAGGGCGCUUACCACGGCGGGGUUCGUGACUGGGGUGAAGUCGUAACAAGGUAGCCGUAGGGGAACCUGCGGCUG